rnacentral:lncRNA from 1 species
AUAAAGCAUUGAGGCCAUUAAAACAGGUCUUGAAGAAAGAGGUAGAGCCCAAGUCUAGCUUGCAGCCAGUGGAGUAGUACUCCAUGUCCUCUACGUUUUGACUCUCAUCAUGAAGAAGGGGGAAGGCGAGAGAAAACCCAUCAAGCUGCUCCGGCGCCAUAUCUCAUAAACUAGGAAAGAAAGGAGGGGAAAGGAUUAUGAAGAUUAUGAAACUGAUUAGGGUUACAUAGUUUCGAGAAAUGAAGAUUGGAAAUAAUAUAGGCAACUGGGCGGGGACUGUGGAGCUUGAGGGGCGAAACUUUACAUUGCACGCAAAUCUCAUGGUGCUUAUGUAGUCUCACCUCUCAACCAACUUGAUUCACGAGAGCGAGGGUUUGAAUCAAAGAGCUUAAUGGUGUGUUUGAAACUUUUAAGUUAAAAUAAGUUUUCUAAAAAUGUUUUCGAAGAGAAUCAUUUAUUAAAUAUUUAAAAAAAAAAUAUUAUAUGUGACUUUUAAAUGUUAAAAAAAUAUUUUCUAAAUCUUGUUAAAUAUUUUAUUUUUCUUUGAAAAGAUUUUUUAUACUAAAAAUAUUGUUAAAAUAAUCGUAAUGCUUUUAGUAACAAUACUUUAUAGUCUAUUAUGAUUUUAUUGAUAGCAUUUUUACAAGAAACCUUUUAAUACAUUGAUAUUUGGAUGCAAUAAAAAAAUAUAGAAUGUUUUUAUAAUGAUUUUGCUAAUAUACAUAAUAUAAAGUAAAUAAAGUGAUUUUUAAAGAAAAUUAAACAAUUACCUUUUAAGUGACUCUCUAGAUUUUUAAAUAUAAUUUUAAAAACUUUAUAAAAAUAAUUAAUUUUUAUAAGAAAAAUGUCACAAAUUAAGCUUUUAAUUCUCUCACAAUAACUCCCAAAUGGACUCCAAACAUGCAUUUCAUAUUGCUUUUAAAGUGGCAUAUAACAAGCCUAGCAUGACGGUCCAAAACUUGGAAUUAAUUUUUUUUAUAAAUAUUUUAAAUAUACAUCAUGCAAUGAAAUGCUAAUUAUAAAGUAUUCACAUGACUCUCAUGAAUAGAUAAGGUCCUCAUUCUAACACACAUUUUUACCUAAAUUUUAGAAAUAAAACAUUGAAUAUAGUUUAGCAGCACUCAUGAAUCAUGACAAAUCAUGACUUAAGUUAUAAAAUGAUCACAUACAAAACUUUGACAUCAUGGGGUAGGGGUACCUUUGAUGGGCCCUUGUCCCAUGUGAAUCAUACCACUAAUUAUCUUAAUUGAUCACAUCCAUUUUUAAUUUGCAUGCUUUGGCAUUUCCUUUUUACUACCAUCAAUUUAAUUAAUAGAUUGGAUAUACUAGAAAAUUGUAUUAUUUAUAUAAAAUUUUCUAACAAUUUAUAAAUCUUAAGGUUGUUACAGAAUUAAUCCAGGAUAAUAUAAGUAUGUAUUAUUGAGUUGUGAGAAGGCUAAUGAAGUUUGAAAGGUAUAAAGUGAACUUAUAUGAAAAUUACGAAUAAAUUUAAUUGAAAAAGGAAUUUUAGUUGAAAAUUUAUAAUAUAGGGAAAAGGAAAUUGUAUUGAAAAAAAAAAUGUAGUAGGAAAGCUCAAGUGACCUUAAAGACGUUCAAUGAAAAAAAUUGCCCAACUUUUAUUUUUGGGUAGAGCUUCCAAAUUUUGUAAGUUUCCUACCUCGUUUUUUUUAUAAAAAUAAUAUUUUUUAAUUUUGGGUGUGUUUUGUCACUAUUCUUUUAUAUGUGUCUUUUGUACGUCUUUUACUCACCUAGAGCACCCUUAAUAUCAGGUCAUUGUCUUUUAUAAAAGAAAACGUUUUUGUUGUUAAGUUUAAGAUGGUAAAAUCACAUUUUUUUUUCAAGAUGUCGAGGAAACCAUUAAAAAAUAAGGAGGUGUUAUAUCACGGAUAUGAGAAUAGAUAUAGGCACCGAUAAUAUAAGUCUGAAUAAAUAAUAACUAUCAAAUAAAUCUAUAUAUCUUUUUUCCAUGAUUAAUGAAUUUUAAUUUUGGGAUUUUUGACUUUAUGGCUUUUACAUAGGUAUUUGGAAUACUUUGUAGAUAGUUUUCCAUAUAGAUCGCAUUUCCUUCCGUACAAUUAAAUGUUUUUUAUUUUUAUUAAUUAAUUAUAUUCUAAUAAAAAAAACAUAUAAAAACUAAAAAUUGAUUUUUUUUUUUUAGGCUACACUUGAAAAGACUAAUUACCAUCCCCUCUAAAUAGUUCCAUUGUAUAAGAUUUGAAACUCUAAUUGCACUUUAUGUAUACCCUUCAUUUUGUCUUCCUAGCACAUGUUCUAUUAGGUAUUUGUUCGGUACUUUAUAACAAUUCCCUAGUGACCCAUUACUACUCGUGUAGCCUAUUUUUCUAAGCCACUUUGGGGACUUUGAUUGAGAAAUUUAUCUAACCUCAUUGUGACUCUUAACAGCCCUAGUUUAGAUUUAGUCUCACUUAGACACCUUAGGCCCACUUACGCUCCCUAGGCCCAAUUAGGCACCUUAGGCCCACUUAGAUACACUUGGCCAUUAAACACCUUAAACUCACUUAGGUGCCCUAGGCCCAAUUAGGCACCAUUUAGACACCAUUUAGACACCUUAGGCCCGCUUAGAUACACUUGACCCAUCAGGCACCACACUAGGCCCAAUUAGGCACCACUUAGGCCUACUUAGGCAUCUUAGGCCCAUUUAGAUUUUAAGCCCAUUAGGACACACCCUAGGUCACCUGUAGAUGUUUCUACAUGGUUCGCAUAGUUGCAUGGCUCCUUUUUUUGCAUGGUUGCAUGGCUCUUUUUUUUUUUUUUUUUUUUGUGGUUACAUGGCUCGUAUGGCUUGCAUGUAGUUGAUUUUUAUUUUUAUUUUAUUUAUUUAUUUAUUUAUUUUAGGUGCGUGAUCUAAAUUUCUUUUGAUUUUCCAUUUAUUGAUUUUAAUCUUUAUUUUAUUUCUAUUUUAUGUUAUCUUUAUUUUAUUUUUAUUUUUUGCUUUUACCUUUAUUUUAUUUCUUGCAUGAGGGAUGCGGUUGCACCUAAAUGGAAAGAGGAGAUUACAGCUCGCAAAAGGAUUUUCCAAAAGCAGGGAUGAGUGAUGGGUGGGAUUGGAUUCUCCAUGAGUUUGAGGAUAAGGGGACUUCCCAAAAAGAGACAACACGUUGUUAUCAUGGAGAGAGGCUGCCAUACACAGAAAAUGAAGAAGACUCUUGAGCACGUAAGGGGAAAUGAGGGAUCCAUAAUAAAGAGGCUGGUAUUUUUGGGAGAAUAGAGAUGGAGGAUUGAGAGACGUGAGGGUGAUCCAACAUUCGAGAGGGAGAGAGAGGGUUUUCAUAGGGGAAAGAGAGAAAUGAAAAGAUUUUUUUUUUUUUAAAGGGAUCGGUAAGAAGAGAAGGGAGAUUGUCGUUCUAAAAAGAAGAGUAGGACAAUGUGAGAGAUGGGGAUUUUUUUUAGAGGAUCACUGGACUGUUGCUUAAGGAUUUUUUUUUUUUUUUUUUAAGGAACACCGGGCUGUUGUUGAGUUUUUUUUGGGAUCACUAGGUUGUUGUUCCAUUUUGGAAAAUGGGCAAGGAGUUUUUCAGGGAGAAGGGUGCCAUUUUUUUUUAAAGGAAUCGGGAAUGAGUUUUUUUUUAGAGUGUGAGGGGCUGUUUGAAGGGAUCAAGAGAGAAAGCUUUGAGAGCAUGAGAAAGGGCUGCCGUUUUGGAUCAGUGCAAGGAGUUUUUUUUUUUUUUUUUUUCAGAUGGUUGCUGAUUUUUUUUUUUUUUUUUUAUCAUCGGGCUGUUGAUCCAUCAUAGCAUUAACUCCACAUCACAACUGAUGCUCUUCCACUCAUCCUUCACCGCACUAGCUGCACACCACCUUUUUUGGUAUCUUCACAACCGUUAGGAGUCUUAUAAAUUAUGCAUGCUACCCAGGUACACUUUCUAUCACUACUUUUCGAAAUUCCAUGAACAUACAUGUUGUUGUGAGCCUUGUUUAUGCUUGAUAUGAUCCUUCUAUGAUUAAAUACAUGUCAUAUGUUAUAUUUCUAUACUAACUCCGAUGUUUUAUGAUAGCGCUUGAGAAGCGGUUCAGGUACGCACCCUAAAUUUUCUUUAUGAUUGUGAUUGGUUUUCUUGUUUGGCAUGCUAUUUUUUUGAAAUCACCUUGUCUACCUAGGUAUCCAUAAUCAACCAAAUUAAUUAUCAUAUUUCCCUCAAUUUAGUCAAUAGAGUCCUUUGUAGGGCUUAGAGGGGUGCUACCUCUUAGAAGUACCUUUCCAAUAGGUAACCUGAUUCCCGGACCUAGAUUCGGGUUUUUCAAAGACACGUUUUUCCAAAAACCUUGGAAUCAUUUUUUUGAGGGUUUUAUUUCUUGUUUUAUUUUCCCUUUAAAAUAAAUAAACUAAGUGGCGACUCCGACUUUUCUAAAAUUGAUUUUUUACCAAAUAAAAAGCGAGUUUCGCCAAUCGAGUGGCGGCGCAAGUGAAAAAUACGGGUCCACAGUCUAAUUUCUUAAUUCAUUUUUUACUAUCAUUUCUUUAUGCUUUAAUUUAAUUGUAUUUUAAAAUUUUUAUUUAGUGAUUCAUAUUGGAUCGUACAACAAUAAUUAAAGUUAAAAGUUACUAAUUUUUUUGUCUUAAAAUUUAUUUUAUUUUAAUUGGUUACAUGUGUAAGCGCAAAAUAUGAUAAUGAGGAAACGACCAUUCAUAUAAAGCUAAGUAACCAAAGAUUAUGACUAUCUUUUGAUUGAAAUACAACGAAAAAUUUGUUUAAUUAAAAUACUAGACUUUCAUGAUUUGAAAUUAAUAAAUAUUUUAAUAUUUGUAAUUUUAAUAAUAAUAAUAAUUUGUAGUGAUGUACUUUGAUAAUAAAAAAUUAUCUCAACUAAUUUUAUCCUUUAGAUAAUCCAUGAGAGGUUUACAAUAAUUUUUUCUAGAAUAUGAAACCAUAAAAAUUUGUGAGAGAAAGAAAUUUUCAAAAAAUUAUUAAACUUAAUUUUUUUCCUUUCAUUUUUUAUCUUUAAUUUUUCUUUUUUCUCUUGUUUAUCAUCAAAUUUAUUAAAAUCCUUUUAUAAUAAUAAAAUUGGCGCAUAAACAAAUGGUAGAGGGUGGAGAUGAGGUGACAACAUUAGGAGCUUAUAGUAUAUACUCAAAAUAAUUAAUGGACAUUCCCACGAAGGCCAUGAAUUUUCAUAUUUCAACAAAGGUUUGUUUAAGGUGAUUCUUAUAAUAACACUUUUAGCUUGUAAUUCUUUUAUUACCGACAUUUAUGAAAAAUCAAUUAAUGUUUUAAGUUAAAUAAAAAUGCAUAUGUCAUAGUGUUUGUUAUAAUAUGUAACAAUAAUAUGAUUUUUAUAAUGAAGUGCAAUGUCAAGCUAACUCAACUUAAGAGUAUACCUAAAACAAAGUAUUAACUAGUUUAGUCAAUUUUUACUGAUUAUAUAUUAAUGAAAAAAAAAAUUUAAGAUGUAAUAAGAUAAAUUAAAACACAUAAUUAUUAGACAACAAGAAAAGAGAAAGUAAACAAUAAUUUAACAUGGUAAUUCAAUGCAACCCCCUCAUAUCCAUGACUUCAAGCUCCAAUCCAAUGCUUAAAGUGUUCCUCUAUAUACUCAAUUGAGGAUCCUUCAACGAGCGAUGUAUCCUUCAACUUUACAUUUAGUUUGAGGGAUCAAUAGAGUUUUACAAAGCUCCACAAAUAAAGUUCACUUACUUGAAAACUCUCUCACAUAGAAUGAUAGAAUUAAAUGACUAUCAAUAUAUCAUAUACAUAAGUAUAUGUAUUGAUAGUGUAAGAUUAAGGAAAAAAACAACUAUCAAGAAUAAAUUAUGUAACUAUUCUUUCAUAUAUAUUAAGAAAAAUUUAGUUCUACACAUAAAUCACUUACAUACUUAUGUGAUUAUUUAUUGUGCGUAUUUAUUAAUUGCUUACAUCAUAUUAAAAAAACUUGAAAGAAAAUAUAAAAAAAAAGUCAAUUUUUAGGUAUAUAUUUAAGAACUACCUAUUCACUAUUUCUUUGGAUAGGCUCAUCGUAUAACAUCUUAAACUCUCGUAAGUAAAUUAAGAUAAUAGGACAAACACAUAUGCAUUAUUAAAUAAGAAAUCGUUUGACAUUUUAGGUCAAACACAAUUGCAUCAAAUCUAAGUUUUAAUAAGAUCUAAUUCUCUUUUAUUGGUGAUAAAACUAUCCUUAUUAAGAGUUUUAAUAAAAAUGUCUACUAAUUGAUAAUUUGUGCUAACAAAUCCAAGUGUAAUAUCAUGUUUUUGUGCAUGGUCCCUAAGAAAGCAAUGUUUAAUUUCAAUGAGUUUAGCCUUCACAUGUUGAACCAAAAUUUUAGAAACAUUCAUAGCACAUUACAAGGAAAAAGAUAUAUGGUGAAGGCUAAACUCACCAUAAACAUAGGGUGUCACUACAACAUAGUGUCACCUUUUCCACUAACAUCAUAGAGGGUACUAAUUGGUGAUGUAUUUGGAAGUAACACCAAAGUAGAUAAAUGGUGACCCAUUCGGAAGUGACACCAUAUAUUUCUAGUGAUGAUGGGGUGUUACAUUAUAUGCAUCAUCUUUGAGUUAUGAUGUCACAUUAAAUGCAUCACAUUUGAGUUAUGGUGUCACAUCAUUGUAAAUUAUUGUAGAAGAUAUUAUUGGUUUUAGUUGUAAAUUUUUGUAAUGCUUAUGAAUUAAUAAGAUUAACAUGUUUAUAUUUUGUCCAUAAAUAUAACAAUCAUAUUAUAUUUAACUCAUUUUUCUGUAAUGUUUCUGGAAUAACUCAUAAUACAUUGAUCAUCUAAUAAUAUUUGUAUAUCAAAUGUUCACAAAAAGAUAGUACAUCCAACAUAUCAAACCCAUCAAAACUAAAAAAAAAAUAGUGAAUACAUACCAAAACAUGAUUUAGAAAUGUUAAAGAUCCCAAAAUUCAUGUAUACCUCCAUUUCAUAAGCAUAAAAUCGGCUAACUAUAAAAUGACAUAAAAGUCCCAUUUAAAAAUCUAAAUUUCUCAGUACCAAUUAAAGUAACAUUUAUGUCCUACAACGUAUGACAUAAGAGUUGCAUUUAAAACCCAAAAUCUUGUUGCCUUCUUCUUUCUUUUUAUUCUCCAUUCCACCCUCCCAAGAGUGUAUACCUUCAUUUCAUAGUUUAAUGAGUUUUAUAGAUUUUUAUUGAAGAAAAUAAACAUGGAUCAAUGUUAUCAUAAAUGAACAAAUCUAAGAACUAUUUUUUUUUCUUUUUUUUUUUCAAAUAGAAACAUUAUUCAAAGAAUAAGCAAUACUAUACAAUAUCUAUGGAAAAAUUCAUGUAGUAGCUAAGGGACUCACCAUGCAUGGUGAUCAUGAUGCAUCAACAUGAUUCAUGAUUAGUUGUAGCACAAAAGUAGCCUAUUCUCCUCUAAUUUCAUCGAAAUUCUACUUGACAAUAUGUUUUUUUAUCACCAAACUGAAAUCAAAUAAGAAAAUAACAUUAAAAUGCAUAACAUUUGGAAGACUAAAACUAUGUACAAUUCAUUAAAUAAGUAAUACUUUUGAAGCAAUAAUUGUAGGAUAAAAAAUUAUCUCUUUAAUGAAUCUCAUAACAAAGUAGCCACAUUCGAACCCUCCUUCUUGUCUUGGGCACUAAUCGAUCAAUUAUAAAAUAACAUUAGUACUCAUAUAUAUAAAUGGUGCAAAUGCAUAAGCUAAUAUACGUGUAAAGAAAAAUUUUUGGAUGUCACUUGCACUAGUUCCUAAGAUGGCUCCCUCUUAGAUGUUUUCUUUGCAGAUAUUCGAAGAGCCCUAUGUAAAUAAGUUCAAUUGGUACAUUUUUAAAAUAGGUAAAUGUUAUAGGUUUUAAUAUAUAUAUAAAUAAUAAAAAAAAUGUGUUUAAGGUGAAUGUAUUUUUUUUUAUAAAAUAAUACUAUGAAAAAUAAUAAGAACUUACAUGUUUACGAUAUCCUUUAAGUCUUCACAUGGUUUGUGAUGCAUAGGGUCAAGAUAGUGGACUAUCAUUUUCCUUGGCUCAAUCACUACCAAGAUCCAAUGAAAGCUAAAACAUUAAAAACAAAAGUAGCAUCUAAUUAGAAAUAUAAAUCAAUCAUAAAACCUCAAAUUAAAGUAUAAUAUUCGUCACUUACUUGGGGUUAUAGGGCAUGAAAACAUAUUUAGCAUCGUGACACUCUAUUAAGCAUUUUGAAAAUAAUUGUGCUCUUUUCUCUGUUUGAGGAGUACUAAAGCCUGCUCGUGAUAUUGUAAAAGGAUUAACAAAUAUAAAUUAUGAUUCCUUUUUGGCAAUAUGUAGUUGAUCAUGCAUGUGCUUAUUAUUGUAUCAAAACACCAAAAGAAAAUUAUCAUUAGUUAUAUCCAAUCUCGUUCAACAUGGGCAACUCAUAUUAAAAAAAUAAAAACAAAUGAAAAUAAAGGUGCACAACAUAAAUAGAAGGAGAUGCAGUUUAAUGACACCUCUAAAGAUGAAAUAAUGUAUUCACAAUCCUCUCUAGAUAUAUAUGUUUGAAAUUUGACACCAAAUAGUGAAAUGGGGAACUGUAUUGGGUAUGUCUUAUCAUUACCAAGACAACCAUCUACAAAUUUCUGAAAAUUUUUAAUGACCGAAUGAUUUUGAGGCUUAGAUUUUUGAAUAAUUGUUACCUUCACUAUCUUCUUCUUUCUUUUAUCCAACACCUAUGAAAAAGGAAGGAAUGUUAGUAAAUAUAUACUCCUAAACAAUAAAAUACAAAGUUACAAUCAAAUUUACUACGGGUAUAAAAUGAUAUGCCUAAGGAUGUUCAGUUUCAAGUAUGACAAGGCUUGUUGGCCAAUCAAGCCCAAAUAUUGAAUUUAAGUACUAAAAUUUUAAUUUAUAAAUACUAAAAUUUAUAAGUAAUAAAAACAAAUAACUAACAAAAACAAAAGUUACAAGCUCACUUUUUGUAGUGAAUUCGCCUUUAAAAAAUUAAAUUCUAUUUAAAAUAAAAAUGUAUGGUAAUUUCAAAAUCAUUUUUGAUGAAAUAAUUUUUUUACAAAUUACACUACCUCUACAAAAUGCCUAUUUAUGAAUGGGUAGAUUUUACCCCAUACAUGAACUUUCAUAAUCAAAUUUAAGUAUCUUAAAUUUCUUUUAGAUACAAGUAAAACUCUAAUAUAUAAAAUAUCGUAUACAAUAUUCUCACUAACAUACACUACCUAAAAUGUUUUAAAUAGGAAAAAUAAUCCAUAUAUACCUCUGUUAUACCAUGUUGGCUUGUUGAUAUAGUAUUAUUAUUAUUAUUAUUAUUAUUAUUAUUUGGAAUUUAACUGUCUAAUAAAAUAACUUACUAUUUCAUUUUAUUUUAGUUAAUUUUUUUUUAAUAAGACAACAACAAAAAGGGAUAGUUAUGUCAUGUCAAUAUGUUUAUAUGGUAGAAAGAAGGUAAUUGAUACAAGGCAACCAAUUUAUUGUAUAUUCUCUUUUAGGAAUAUUAUGUGAAAUAUUCAUUGAUAUUCUUUUGUGAAAAUAGAUUUUCAUAUACUAAAUGAGAAUUUAAAAAUAUUUCUAUAAAUUUUGAUUUGUGCAUAUUCAAAUAUUAACCAUGAUCCUACUCUGGGAUAUACAAGGAAAUGAGCGUGAGAAAAUUUUCAAUAUUUCAUUAAAAUCUUUUUUAAAAAAAUGUCAUAAAAAAUUAACAAAUUUAGAAAAAAAAAAAAGGACAGUGUUUUUUAGAACAAAUUUUUUGUUUUUCAAAACAAAACAAAAACAUAUUUUACAAUAUAAAAAAAAACCCCCAAAAGUUUUUAAAAUAUUUAAGAUAUAAAUACAGUGGCAUGGUUGUGGCUUACAAACCUCGUUCAAAAAGAUAACGAGCCUGAGAAAAUCUGUAGGGAGGGUUUGACAACUAUGAAACCAGAGAUAAUAUCUAGAGAAACUAUCAAACCUUCCUCUCCAACCCCACAUUCCCAAAGAUGGUACAAGCUCUCCGUAUUCGAUCAAAUGAGUUAUGGCAUGUAUAUUCCCAUCAUCCUAUUCUACACCAGCAAUGGCGAUGAUAACCCAGUUGACUUUUCCCAUAGAUUAAGUGGGCUCAAGAAAUCCCUCUCUAAAACUCUAACUCGAUACUAUCCACUAGAUGAGAGGUUGGGGAUGGUGGGAGUAUUAUCUUCCCGAAUCGGUCCUUUUGGGGUUGGAUACUCUCAACGAAAUUCUAUAUCUCAUUCCCACUUAGAUACAAACAGAAAAAUCAUUCUUUUUUUUUUUUUCUCUCUCUCGUUUUUUAGAAAGGAUGAAGAUUAUAUAGCAGUAUAUUUCAACAAAAUUCUGUACCUGUCAUUCUCACACAAAUACAUAUUAAAAAUCAUUCAUUUUUUUUUCUUGUUUUUCACUUGUUUUUAAGGAAUCGGCCAUGUGUUUGGUUCAGAUUAAAAACUCAAUUAAUCUAUAGGUUUUUUCUUCUAUGCUAGAAGUUUAAACCUAAGUUUUUCUUCCCUACAACUCAAGAAAACGCAGCUCACAAAAAUCAUAAUACAAAAAUGUUAAAACAAUCAAUAUAAUGACAUUAAUAAAAGAAAAAAGAUGAUAGAUCUAAGAGAUUUUGGGUUACCUAGGAGUCCACAAAUAGAAGAAUGUCGGUUGUGAGCGUGUUGACUAUGAGUGAGAGAAAGGUAGAAGAAGAUUAUGAUUUUAUAUAUAGGGUUUGCAUACUGAGAUUUUUUGGAUUGUGGGCAUGUGAAAACAAUGGGCUUUUUAUAUAUUGUCUCUCAUUAUUAAUUCUAAAAAUGGGCUCAAGUGGGCUUAUUAAGUUAUAAUACUUAAAAAAAUUUAUUUUAUAUGAUGUCACUUCCCGAAAAAUGACACUAUAAAUAUAAAACUAAUAUCAUCUAACCACCUCAAUUGGAGAUUUUUUAUCUAAUGUGUCACCUUUAUUAAUUAUAAACCCUAUUGUGUCAUUAUUUUAAAAGUGACAUCAUAAAUAAUGACACCAUAAAUUAUUUUUGGAGUAGUGGCACUAAUGUUUUCCCAUUUAAUAGGCACAAAGUUUAUAUAGGAAACUAAAGUCAUGCAAGGUUUGUUUCAUCUAUUAAAUGAAAGGACUAUACAACACGAAUAAAAAGUAAUAUAUUCUACUUCUAUAGUCGAUAAUGUGAUGAAAUUUUGCUUUUUUGCAACACUAAGAUGCUAGUGAGUACCUAUAAAAUGACAAGUAUUACUUUUGUUUUUUCAAUUUAUUUUAUAAUUGGAAAAAUCUACUUCCAAAUAUGAAUUAAAUUAAAAUUUGUGCACCUAGGAUACCAUAAGCCUAGAUUAAUUACUUUUUAAAAUAUCUAAGUAUUCUUGUAAUAGCAUUAAGAUGAGAUUUCUUAGAAUAUAAUUGAAAUCUAACAUGCUAACAUACCUACUCGUAGUAAGGUAAUUAAAGUAAUGUUCAUAUCAUAUACAAUGUAGGAUAAAUUCCUUUUUGUAAAGCUUUAUGGAUGAACUUGGACAAGUCAUCACUUUUAUAUCUUCCAAAUUGAAUCAUUGGAAACAAACAUGGUGUAACCCUAUGUUGGGUUCUAAGGGAAGAAAAAUGAAAUGUUAAAAAAUUUAAAUUUUUUUUUAAAUUUUUGGUUACCAUGGAAAAAAAAAAGAGAAAAUACUAAGAAAAAGAUAAAGAAAAAAGCUUCUUAGAUUUUCUUCCGUUACUUUAAGAAAAGGUUUGGGGCAAGUGCAUUCAUCUGCAAUUUAUUUUUCUUUUUCUAAAUUUUCUAUAGAUAAUCAAAUAAGAGAAGGAAAUUUUUAUAAAUUUUUAUCUUUGUCUUUCCUUAUAAUUUUUCUUUCCUUUAAACAUCCCGAAUCGAAACUUAAAAGAGUUUUUUUAUAACUCUAUUGUAUUGCAUGUGAAUAUUAAAAGGCAUAUGAUCAAUAUAGACCAAUAUAGGGAGGCAUACUAUUUUUUGAUUAAUAAAUCCAUUGGAUUACAAAAUUUUUAUUGUCAAUACAAAAUAAUAUACACUCAUAACUGGCCUAUUAUUUCUACUAUAGAUGUGUAGGUACCCAUGAUGCCAGCUGAAAUACCCAUUAAAACAACCCCAAUUAUAAUCACUAGUUCGACUCCAAAUUUGUGGUAAAUGCCUGAAAUCUUCAAAUAGCAUAAGCAUGGCAACAAGAUUGAAGCUGUGACACUUAAAAAAGCUCCCACCAGUGACAUGAGAGACCCAAAAAAUGGCACUGUCAGAGCUACAAUGAUGGUGCUGAAUACCAAGGUGGAUCUGAUUAUAAGGCUAAAUGGUCUUUUCUUGUAGUAGUAUGGGAGCCAAUUUUCAGUAGCAUCCACAAUUGGUGUAACCAUCAAUGCAUAUUUGGAUAUGGGAUUGACCAGAGUAGUGUAUAUGGCGAUCCUUGAGCUAAGCUUCUCAAUUGGAAGGUUCAAGGUUAUUUGUGAUUGAACAUUUGAACCAAACAUCAGGUACCCUAAAAUUGCCAUUGCUGCAUAAGUGAUGGUGCAGAAGAUGAAGCAUACAAGGAGGACCUGCAAUGAGAAAUGUAGUAUUCAAGGUUAGUAACCACAAACCAAACUCAGCUGAAGUUUCUGUGUUUUUAUAAAAUUCACCCAAAUUAAGAGUGCGUAUCAGUGUUUUUAAAAACACUUCAUAAAAACAUAUUCUAAAAUUAUUAUGAAAGUUACUCAAAAUUAAAAAAAAAUAAAGAUAAAUAGAUAAGAUUUGAUAGAAUUUAAAAUUUGUUUUUGAAUUCAAUGGAUUAAAAUAGAAUCGAGGUAAUUCUCCGUGAUUUGAAAUCCUUGUCUUUUCCCAGCCAUGGUUUGAAAUCCUUAUCUUUUUCCAACCAAUCAAGUUCCAUCUACACCGAGGAUUCUAGUUUCUUUCAAAAAAAAAGGAAACUGCCAACACUUGCUACAGAUGCUUUAUCUUCCACAGAUAUUUUUAUAAGCGAAAAGACUAGCGUCGCAUCACUGAAAAAUUGGACAUGUAAAAAAUAAUUAAAGAUUUAAAACUUACAUUAGAAAAUUGAUGCUUCUUCCUCAUGGAAGUGUACAAGGUGGGGAAGACCGGAUGGGCACAAUAACAGAAGGCAUAUAAGCUAACAGCAGUGGGGAUUCCCUGCCAAUUUAGACUUGUUCCCUUCUCAUCAAAUCCAACUCCAUCAAAGGCCCCGGUCCAUAGAAUUGAGCCAAGAAUGAUGAUACAAGCUAAAACACCGCUGGCUGAUAUAUAAGAAAGAAUAUUGAGGUUGUUCACCCAGACAGAAGGCAAAAUAACAAGGCCCACAAUGAUUAUGAAGCUUUGUCUCCCAUCAAUCAUUAAUCCCCAAAUCUCAAGCCCCAUGUUGGGAAACAGAUUAUGUAGAUUAUCCCCUUCGAGGAUUAGAAAGCCUGUUGCAACCAAGUAGAGCUCGGUAUACAUGAAAACAGAUACCAGUAAUCUUCCCAUCUUCCCAAAUGCUCGCUCGCCAACAUCAGGGUAAGUUCGGAUAUUUGGAUGGGCAUCCAUACAUCUUCUGAGUAGUAAGCCUGUGUAGAAAGUUGCAGUGGCGAUAACAAGUAGAAGAACCAAGCUCAACCACCCUCCCGAUGAAAGGGCAUAUGGUGUGGAAAGGAUCCCAACUCCUGAUCAUAAAGCAUAGUCAAAGAAUUUGGUGUUCAGUUCCUUAGUCACAAACAGAUCAUAUUUCGGAGAUAAGAGAGUGGCAUCAGAAAAAAGAUAAACCUGAUAAAGCAUUGAGUCCAUUGAAACAGGUCUUGAAGAAAGAGGUAGAGCCCACAUCUUGCUUUCUACCGUUGGACUCAAUGUCCUCCACUUUGUUGUGAUUCUGAUCAUCAUGCAAGAGGGGCAAGGUGAGAGUGAACCCAUCACGCUGUUCAGCCUCCAUGUCGAGAGAGAGAGAGAGGAAGAGACAGAGUCCGAAGAAGACUACUAUGAAGCUUGAAGAGAGGUGAGAGGCUUAUAUAGGCAAAGAUAAAGUGGGUGGUGCAAGUGAGCAAUGAGAAGUGGGAACUCGUCAAUUAAUAGGAAGGGAAGCUUAAAAGCUAUGUUCCAAAGAUAAGAGACUUUUACUCAUCUUGCACGCCUAUCACAUGGUUUUAUUUCUCAAAUCACGUGACGCAUGUGACUGCCAACUAUUAACGUGUUUUUGUAUUGUUGACCUUGUAAGACCUAGGAGGUCAGCCUUCUAAAUCCCCAAGAAUUCCGUCAUCCAGCCUCUCUAAAUUAAAAAAAAAGAAGAGAAAACUCCUACUUUCCUUGAGGAAUCUAAAGUUUAUAAAACAUUUUCGCGUAAAAGUUUGAUAAUUUGGUAAUAGAAACAAUACUUUCUAUUUAUUCUUUCUAGAACUUUAUAUAAGAAUAUAGUGUUUAUUAUUUCUUUCUAGAAAUUUAUAUAAGAUUGUAGUGUGAGUCAUGAAUAUCCUAAAAUAAAAUAAAAUAAUACAAUUUCCUAAAUUAAGAUAAUCUCUCAAAUAUUAUUAAUAUUUUAUAAUGGAAAUAUUGACAGGAAUUCAUUUUAUGUAUCUUUCUUUUGUCCUCAUUUAUUCUUUCCCUUAAUAUUCAUCACACAUUUAUUUUGACUUAGUUUAGAUUAAUUAGUUUCAAUUGAUUUUUAAAAAUCAAAAACUUCUUUUUAAGUUCAAUUUUACCCUCUAUACUUUUCUUUAAAAAAAAAAGAAUUUUAUUUGAAAAUGACUAAAAUAUUACUUUUCGUAGAAACCUUAUUAUGGUCAAAAUACAAGGGAAAUAAAACUACGAGAAAAAGUAAAAGAAAAUAAAAGUUAAGAAAAAUAAAAAAGAAAAAUUUUAAAUAAAUAAUUUUUUUAUGCUACUUCAAAUUCAUUUCACUUGUUUUACCUAUUCUAUAUAAAAAUUAAAUAUUUUUAAAGUAUAUAAAUUUUUUUACUAAUUUUAAGUAUAAUUUCUUUCAUAUUUUUCAUAAUAACACUAUAUAUAUAUAAUUCUUCGACUUUGGUUUCAACUUAUAAUUUUAAGACAAAUAGAAAGUCUUCUCAAGCGAAGACACAUUGGAAUUACGUCCUAUUUGAAAACUAUUUUUUAAAACUGUCAUUUGAUUUAAAACUAUUUUAUAAAAUAAAAGUCUGAUUGAUGAUCUUAAAUGUUUUUAACAUAUUUUUAAUAUUUUUAAAUUAAUUUUAAUGUCUACUAAUUUGUUUUUAAUCAUUUUUUAAGGGAUAAUUGUGUUUUGGACCCUAAGCCAAAAAAAUUAAGAUUAUGAAAGUUGCAUAAUUGAUGGGAAUGAUAUAAAAUGUGAAGAGAACAAUAUACCCUUUAAAACUAUUUUGAGUAUUUUCUAUCAUAAUGUUUGACAAAAAAAAAAUUUAAUUUUUUUUAAUAAUUAUUCUGAAAAUUUAUUAUUUUUAGAAAACUAAUUUAAAAUAUAUAUAUAUAUAUAUAUAUAUAUUCUAAAAAUAUAUCAUUUUAAAAAAUAAUUUUGACAUAUUUUUAGUUAUUUUUUACAUACAUAAUUUAAAAAUAUAUAUAUAUUUUUCAAGAUGAUUAAUUAUUAAAUAAUAAUAAUAAUAAUUUAUUUUCAUUUUUUUGUAAAAGGGUGUAUUUUUUUCCGAAUCACUAAAUUAAAGUAAAAUUUAUUGAGGUUUACAAAAGGAAUAAAAUUUAAAUUAAUAUUUUCCUACUCUUUUUUUUCAUAAUUAAUAAAGGUGAUUUUUUGAAAAAUAAAAAAUUCAUAUCCUUCUUCUCAAUUUCCAUAUUUUCUCUAGAUCUUGAACUUAAAUAGUGAAUUUAUAUGGACCAAAUCUUAAUUUUUGGGCCCAAUUAGUUUCAAAAUACAAUUGUCCCUUUUUAAAAAACAAUCCUCAAAAAAUAAAUAAAAAUAAUUAAAAAAUAUUAAAUUAUUAUUCAAUUUUUUUUUAUUAAACGCAUUUUCUAUUUUUUUUGUUCUCCAAAAAAAAAACAUUAUUUUUUAAAGCAAUAAUCAAAUAGCUUCUAUUUUUACUUAGUUUUCACUUCUCUAGUAAAAUUUAUUCCAUCCUCAAUAUUCAGGCCAGUACAAUUAUUUUUCUUUUGUAUAUAACCCUGCGAAGUAAAAGGUUCUGCCCAGGUGUUUGACUUAAAAAGGAAGGGGGAAUAAUAACGCUGUAUUCAAUACGUCUUCAUCAUACGCAAUAUGGUACCAUCAUUAUAUGUCUGCAUAGAAGCAAUCAUUUUGAAAACUAUCAACCAUGACGAUAACAUGCAGUGCCCACAAGCCUGCCAAUGACCCUCUAAAACUUACAUAUAAGUAAAAGAAAUAAAAAUAAAUCCUCUAUCUAAGUGUACAAGUUCCAAUAGAUGUUUUGAAUUCAACAAAUACAUGGGAGUUUAUACAUGACAUGCCAUUUGUGCCACAUGCUAUAUGUAUUUGAUGGGCAUUGUAGGGACCAGCUACAUUUGACUAGUUUGGUAUAGCCAUGGCCAAGCUGAAUGUGAAUAAUGAUGUUAGUUAUUAGAAUGUGAAUAACAAUGUUGGUUGUUCGUGGACCACGUAGUACAACUCGCUUAUCAUGAAUACAAAAAAUUUGAUUAUUAGAAUGUGAAUAACGAUGUUGGUUGUUCUUGGACCACAUAGUACAACUCCCUUAUCAUGAAUACAAAAAAUUAUCAUUGAAGGUAUCAAAAUUUUAAUUGAGUUCUAUCUCGUCGCCUUUUGUGUAUAACGCGUGCAUGGGUCCUCCCAUCAUAAGUUACACCAAUUUGAAUGACAAAACCUUCAAUUAGACAUUUAAUAUAAAGUCAGCUCAUUGAUACCCACAAAUCAAAAGACAUUUUAAAUUUUUGUAUAAAAACUUAAAUCUAUUGACAAACAGACUACGUGGAUAAACUAAUAACAUAUAUAAAUAGUUAGUCAUGCAAAUAUCACAAACACGCUGAAAUAAAUCAUCAACUCUCGAGUUAUGUUGUCCCCAACAUAAAUACUAGGAAUUUGUAUAUUUUUUUACUAGUGUAAAAAGCAUCAAUGAAUUAAAUGUCAUUGUUUAUUAUUUUUUAUAUAGUGUUAGCCAUUCUCUCAUCUUUUUUUAAUAAUUUUGCACUCAUGAGUCUCUAUCUAUGCAAGUCAUAUUCUCAAUCUUAAUUAAAGUCUCACUCUUCUUUCCAUUGGUGUGCCUAACUUCCCCCUUAUCUUCUCGACUCUUCCUUCAAUUUUGUAGUUUGGAAUGACAAAAUUGUAUGUAUCUUCAUAGUGAAGUUUCAAUACGCAACUACAAGGAUUUAGUUGUCACCUAAAGUAAAUACAUUAUAAAGUAAAUGUAUCCACAAUUUAAUGGUCCUUUUCAAAAUUAUUAUUAUAAAGGAGAGUUUAAUCUUCAAUUCUUUCUUCAAAAACACUCCUAUGAUUCUAUGAAAACAUUUUGAUGAAAAAUCAAUUAUUCUUUAAACAUAAACCAAAAGAUAUUUCCACAGAGUUUUAAAAAUUAAUUAUUUAAAAAAGCAUUUGGUAAAUGUUGUUGUUAAAAUCAUUAGUAUUUUUUUUUUUUUAAUGUAUCACGUUAUAAACAUCUCAUUUUUAUGAGAAAAUACUUUUUAGUGUUAAAAAACACUUUAAUCAUUCAGAAUCAAUCUUAGAAUCUGUAUGGAAUAAUUUUAAGAAGAGUUUUUAGGUCAAAAAGUUUUUUUAUUUUUUAAAUGAGGAGUUUAUCAAAUAAAUAUUUUUAAAAAUAUAAAAAAAUUAUUUAUAAUAUUAAAAAAUCUAUUAUAUAAUUUUUACUGAAAACGUUAAAUUAAUUAAAAAUGUGUUUAACAACAUUUUUUAUGAAAAUAUUUUCGGUAGAAGUGGUUUUUAAAAAAAUGUUUUUCAAAAAAUUGACUAAUUAAGUUUUUAUAAGUAAUUUUUUAUGUUUUAAAAAUGUUUUUAAAAUUUCGUAAAACAUGAAAUUUUAUUUUAAAAAUACUUUUUAAAUUUGAAGUGUUUUUUAAAAACAUUGUCAUGAUUGUCCAUAGAUUUUUAAUUGGUUUUUUUAAUGCGGAAUACUAUAAAUAUCUUUUAAAAUUUUAUAAAAAUUAGAAUCCCUACGUAGUACUAAAGUCCAUGAAAGUGUUUGGGUGGGUAGAAAUCUCCCAUCGAUCGUGUUAGUGCGCUUUAAUAAUGAGCGACACGACAAUUCAUAAAGGAGUACCACAAGUUGAAAAUUUCAAACCCUAUCCACAAAGGACGACUGAUAAAACGUGAGGCUGAGAUUUAAUAAUAAAAUUUAGUAUUAACGACACGCACAUCUUCUGACUCUUGUAUGGGUAAAAUGAAAUAUAAUAAAAUUUAUUUGUAAAAAUUAUACAAUAAUUGAUAUAAAAUAACAACAUUACCGUACAAAAAAAGGAGGGCCAAUAAAAAAAUGUUUUAUUUUUUAAUAUUUUUAUUCAAUGGUUCAGAUUUAAUUUCGAAUAACAAUAUUGAGAUUGAAAUUUCAAUUUAAAAUAGAAGGAUCGAAUAGAGAGGACAAAAUUGGUGAUAAUGAAGUUGGCAUGUGAACAUGUGGUGUAAGUGGUUGAGAUGAGGUGACAACGACGGGAGUGGACAGCAUUUUACUCGAAGUAAUGUUUUUCCCCACAAACUCCCCAACGUCUCUUUCAACCCCGACACUCGAGUUUGUAUCCAAAUUGAAUUUGAUUUCGAUUGAGCAUAUCUGAGUUUUAUGGCCGCAGAGAUGCAAAUGUAAAUUUCCUUACUCGAAUUAUGAUAUAGCCCCCUAUUGAUUGAAUUUAUCACAAUUUAAUGGUCCGUCUAAGUUAUGAUACAAUUUUUUGUUUAUGUUCUAGAAUAAAUUCGAUUGAUGGAAUAUUUUCUAUUUUAAAUCCAAAUAAAUAUUUAUAAUUUUAAAAUAUAUUUACAUGAUUAGAAAAUAUGAGAUCAAUUUUGAUACUAUUUAUAAUAGACUGUAUCUAAUCAUAUAAAUAUUAUCUGUUUUUAAAUCGAACUCUCUCUUCCAUCUAACUUGGAUAGAGUAUAUACACGUAAAAAAUUUAUAAAAGAGUUAUAAACAAAAAGACUUGUUAUAAACAAAAGAAUUACAUCAAUUUAUAACCGUUUUAUAAAUCUUUUAUUUAUAACUCUUUUAUUUCAUUAAUAAAAAAAUGGGUUAUAAUAUGAAAAGAAGAAGACGUGUCACAACAAUUUUCCCACUUAUCACACUCCAAACCAUAUGAAUGUAAGUUGUUUUGAAAAUUUAAACUCUAAGAUUUUGGGAUGUGACAACUACAACUUUUAGUGGUAUUUGAAUAGGGCACGGAAUUAAAUUUUUAACGUUUUGUCGUAUUCAAUCAAAAAACACAAGGAUUGGACCUUGAGAAUCCAUGAAAUUUAUACACUAAUUAUAGUGUGCUAGUUUUUGGGUAGGAAAGGACAUCUUCCUAGUUAUCAGAGAUUAGGGCUCUAUUUCCAUUAGAUUGGCUUAUGAAAAGUCCCAAUUUUUUUUUUUUAAGAUUAAUAUUUUCCUUUGAAGAUCAUGUGCAUGGCAACAAAAUGUUAUUAAAAAUAAGAUUUAAGUAUUAGGCUAUGGCAACAAAAUGUUAUUAAAAAUAAGAUUCAAGUCUUUGUUAAGUAAUAGGCUAUGUCAGAUUCUCGAAAAAUUUAAAGAGAGAAUAUAAAAUAAAUAUAAAGAAAGAGUAUAAGAUAGGAAAUUAAAAGUAAAAUAAAUAAAAAAAUAAAUCGAUAAAUUAUUUUUUAUAUACUGUUUUAAACUUAUUUUAUUUAUUUUAAUCAUCUUAUAUAAAAAUUAAAUAAUUUUAAAAUAUAUAAAUUUUUAAAUAAUUUUAAUCAUAUUUAAUUUUUUUUAAAUAUUUUUCAUAGUAAAAUCAAAUUUGAAAAAAAUUCAUUUUCGACAUCUUUUUCUUUUCUUAAUAAUUUUUGGAAAUUGAAAAAACAUUAAUGAAAUAUAAUUCAAAACAAAAAAAAAAACCUCGCACCAAAUCUAGAAGGACAACAAACUUAAAAUUUCAGGCAUGAUAAUAUCAUUUCAAUAACAAAUUUCUAUUUCUACUUUUUGCACCUAAAAGUAACGUACUGUCCCGAAUCAAACUUUAAUGUGUGCGCCAACCAAAUUAAAGUCCCAACUCCAACUCUGCCUGCCUUGAAAAAAGUGGAGCAAAAUGAAAAUGUGGAUGGAAAAUCAAAGCCUAGCGGAUUGCAUUUUUGUUUUGUUUUUUGGUGUGUGAUCUUGAAAACCCAACCUCAUGCACACAUUUGUACAUUGGAUAUAGCUGCUUAUAUGUUAACAUCAAUGAAUUAUCGAUAGUCAACAAUAAUCAAAGUUGUGGCUUCAAAAAGCAAGUGGGGAUAUUAGGUAAAAAUAAUGGUUUGUCAUAUGCCUUUUGAUGGAUUUCAAUAACUAAGCCAACCAACCAGGAGAUGGAGCUUUUAUAUGGAAUAUAUUUUCUAACUUUACUCACAAAUUUUGAAAUAAUACAACUGUUUUAAUUACACUUCUAUGGAAAUACUUGGACAAAGAUUCAAUUAGAGCAGUGUCAUGCUAUUAUAUUCUAUUUAUAUGAUACUAUAAGGGUUUUUCUACUCAUGGUUUAUAGGCCAAAAAAAAAAAAAAAAAAAGUCAUAGUUUUACAUUGAGCCUAUUUGGGACUGUUUUUUAGGAUAUAUUUUUAUUUUCUAGAAUAAAGAACACAAGAAACACGUUUGACAACUAAAAACUAUUUUUUAUUUUCUAAUCUUAAGAAUAUAAAAUAUGAUGUUUUCAUAUAACAUAUUUUAGUUAUUUUUUGUUAUUUUCACUUGUUUUCUGAUGAUUGUUUUAAGAAAUAAUUAUACAAACAUGUAGAAUGAUUAAAAAUGAAAUACUACAUAUAAAAAUUAUUUUUAAAAAUAUUAAAAAUAGAUUAAAAAUAUUUUAGGUUUUCAAACAUAUUUUUGUUCUAUAAAAAUCAUAAAACAAUUUUCAAAAACUGUUCUCAAAUACAAUUUUUUAGAAUAAUUUUCAAAAACAAUUACCAAACAAACUCUCUAUCAUUGUGUUUGUUAGUAAUUCUAAGAAGUGCUUCUAACCUUUUAGCACAUGAAAAUUUUAUCUUCAAGUAUUAUUAGAAAAGUUAAAAUAAAAAUUACCUAAAAUAAUUGUCAAACAUAUUUUUAAAGUUUAUUUGAUAAUGAUUCUAAAAAACGUUUCUAACAUUUUUAACACUUGAAUGAUAAAAAUUUUCAAGUAUUAAAAAUAUUAAAAGCGCUUCCUAAAAUCACUAUCAAACGGAUUCUUAGUCUUUCUAACACUUGAAAAUUUUUAUCUUGUAAGUAUUAAAAAACUAAAAACACUUUCUAUAAUCACUAAGUACACAUAUUUAGAGUGUGUUUGACAAUAAUUUUAAAAAGUGUUUUUAAUCUUUUUAAUACUUGAAAAUUUUCAUUUUUCAAAGUAUUAAAGAUAUUAGGAACACUUCCAAGAAUCAUUAAUAAAUAUAUUUUUAGAGUGCGUUUGAGAGUGAUUAUAGAAAGCGUUUUUACUAUUUUUAAUACUUAAAUGAUAAAAAUUUUCAAGUAUUAAAAAUAUUAAAAGCGAUUCCUAUAACCAGUGUCGAACGACCUCUCAAUAUUGUAUAAAGAAACAAGAAUUCCACGUUAGCAGCACCUCAAAUUCAUGGAAAACAAAAUCGAUGAUAAUGAACUUGGCAUGUGAACGUGUAGAGAAAUUAAAAUGUGGAGAAAUUGAUGAUAAUGAAGACGGCAUGUGAAAUGUGAAGUGGGCUGAGACUUGAGAUGAGGUGACAACAACAGGAGCGUACAGCAUCUCACUCAAAUUCAUGGACAUUUCCCACGAACUUUCAAAGACUACCAACAAUGGCUCUAGUUGCUCUAGUACACCAACCGACCUCCUCUGUUUCGAAAAUAUUCAAAAAUUAUUUUGUAAUAUAAAAGUUUGUUUACUUUUUAAUUUCUUCGUCCUAUUUAAUCAUUCUUUAUAUCUAUAUAAUUAUUUUUUUAAAUAAUUUUAAAAAACAAUUAAAAUAUAUUAUUUAAAAAUAUUUCAUUUUUUAUUUUUAAGGACAAAAAUCUAUUUUUUUUAUUUUUUAUAUAUUUUUUAUUUUUUCAAUAAAAACUAUUUUUUAAAAUAAUUCUAGAAAAACAUUUAUUGAGAAAAACUUGAUAUACACUUAACCUAAAAAAUAACUUUUAUAUCUAAUACUUUAUUUUUAAUAAUUGUGUUUGUACAAUUAUUUUUAAAAAAAUGAAAAUAACUAAAAAAAAAAAAUUUUUAAACGCCUUAUUUUCUAUUUUUCAAUUGUUUAUCGUGUUUUUUCUGAUUUUUUUUUUUUUUUUACUCUAAAGAAUAGAAAGCUCAUUUUAAAAAUAUUUUCCAAAAGAUUGCCUUAGAUUUUAUGUCCAAAUUCAAUCCAUUCAACACUGAAAAUAGUGCAUAGUUUGGGUUGGAAAGUAAAUCUGUUUUUGAGGCUAUUGUUAAAGUGUCACCAAUUCAUUCCAUUUAAACAAGUCCAAAUUCUUCAACCUUUUCUACCAUGACCACUUACAAAAGACUGAGAGGCUCUGUCUGGUUUGACCUUUUUGAAAAGAUCAAUUUUUUUAUAAGUUUUUGCAUAUAUUUAAGUAAUUUUGUUAAAAGACCUUCACAUAAAAAUAAGGAAAAUAUUAUUUUUGUCCCAAAAUAUAUAGGGUUUCUAAUAGGAAAAGGUCAUCCUACCCUUUCUAUUUAUUUAUUUAUUUAUUUUCUAAUUCAAUUAAAUCUUAAUACAUGAGCCUAAUAGUUGAAUUUGAAUGUCUGGCCUAAUUUAAUUGACCUAUAAACAACUUUGGAUAACUUAAACCCAAACCAAAAUUAAAACCAUUCUAUAUUUAAAUAACCCAAUUAUUUAUUACCUUAAAUUAAAUUACAAAAUAACCUAAGUUCCUAGUUGGGGUGUCACAAGAAUGAAAAUUUAAGAGUUAUCAAUACUUAAUACAAGAUGUACAAUAAGUUUCCAAUUUGAUCUAAGCUCUUAGUCGAUGGGUCAACAAUGUACAUCAAAAUCACUUUCAAUUAACAAUACAUUUUUUAAGAUUAUUAAGCAAUAUAUAUUAAACUCACUCAAGGUUGGACUCUUACCAUCUCACAUCAAGGUAACCUCGAAUCAUGUUCAUUGGUUGAUUCCAAUCGAAUUCUAGGGAUAUAACCCUUGUUUCAAGCAGUUGUCGCACAAUAUUGUGCCUUAGGCGUAUAUGUCUGUUAUUCCCAUUAAAUAUCUUACUCUUAGCCUUAGCAAUUGUAGCUUGGCUAUCACAAUGCAUAGACACAGACGGGGCUGGUCUCGUCCAUAAAGGGAUAUUUGCUAAGAGGUUUCUAAGCCACUCAGCCUUAAAACUUGCAUUUUCUAAGGCAAUAAACUCAGCCUCCAUAUUAGACCGAGUAAUGCAAGUUUGCUUGGCAGACUUCCAAGAAACUGCACUUCCACCAAGAAUGAAAACAUAUCCACUAGUGGAUUUCAUCUCAUCUGAAUCUAAAAUCCAAUUUGCAUCACUAAAUCCUUCAAGGACACUUGGAAAUCCACUAAAGCACAAACCAUGGUUAAUGGUGCCUCUCAAAUACUUAAAGACUCUAUGAACAGUAGUCCAAUGGUCCUAAUUAGGACUUUAGGUGUACCGACUCAAUCUACUUACUGCAUAAGCAAUGUUAGGUCUGGUACAAUUCAUUAAGUACAUUAGGCUCCUUAUGAUUUAAGCAUACUCUAUUUGGGUAACACUAUGUUCUCUAUUUUUCUUCAGUUGUGAGCUGGGAUCAUAAGGAGUUGACACUGGUUUACAAUCAAAGUGUUCAAACUUCCUUAGGAUCUUUUCAACAUAGUGCUCUUGAGAAAGUUUAAGCCCAUUAGGUGUUCUAGUUAUUUUAAUUCCUAGAAUCACAUUUGCCUCUCCUAGGUCUUUCAUAUCAAACUUAAAACCUAGGAAUUUCUUGUAAGGUAUUUUAUUUUGAAUAUGGCAUGCGAAUAGGAUAACCUCCCCCCACAACUUCAAGGGUGCUCCUGAACUUACCAACAUUGCAUCAAAGGUUUUAGGACCUAGUUUUCGUUUUUUUAAGUUCAGGGAGAAGAACUUUAGCUAAACACCCCCACACUUUUAGGUAUGCUAUAUUAGGUGCAUAACCCUUCCACAACUCAUUAGGAGUUUUACCAGUUUUCCAGGUUGGUAAUAGAUGAGAACCAUCUUCUGGUUUUAGGUUAGUCAAAAUGUGUUCCAAGUUCACCACAUCAAUUGCAGAGAAAACCCUUUAGGUUAGUUCCAAAGAUCAGCAUGUCAUCAACAUAAAAAAAGAUGACUACACAUGUGUUAUCCUCAUACUUGCUAUAGAUACACUUAUCAGCAUUAGUAAUGGAAUAUCCAUUAGUUACUAACACAUGAUCAAACUUGUUAUGCCACUGUUUAGAAGCUUGUUUUAACCCAUAUAGCGAUUUAACCAGCUUACACACCUUUUUCUCCUUCCUUGGAAUUACACAACCCUCAAGUUGAUCCAUAUAAAUUUCCUCUUCCAAAUCCCCACUCAAGAAUGCGGUCUUAACAUCCAUUUGGUGUAUCAUCAAAUUAUGAAUGGAAGCUAGAGCAAUCAAUACUCUAAUUGAUGUUAUUCUAGUCACAGGGGAAAAUGUGUCAAAGUAAUCUACAUCCUUCAUUUGUUUAAAGCCUUUGGCAACUAAACGAGUUUUAUACUUCUCUAUGGACCUAUCUUGUUUUAACUUUCUUUUAAAGAUCCACUUCCAACCAAUAGUCAUUGCACUAGGGGGUAAAUCUACUAACUCCCAGGUAUGGUUAUACAUUAUUGAUUCGAUUUCACUGUUAAUGGCCUUCUUCCAUAAUGGUGCAUCAGGAGAAGUUAUAGCUUCUUUGUAGGAUCUAAGGUCCUUAUCUUUUAGGUUUAGGGAGAAGAACUUUAGCUAAACACCCCCACACUUUUAGUUAUGCUAUAUUAGGUGCAUAACCCUUCCAUAACUCAUAAGGAGUUUUACCAGUUUUCCAGGUUGGUAACAGAUGAGAACCAUCUUCUAGUUUUAGGUUAGUCAAAAUGUGUCCCAAGUUCACCACAUCAAUUGCAGAGAAAACUCUUUCCUGUCAUCUCUUAAAGAAUGUCUCAUUGAAGGGAUCAAUUUUAGAGGUGUCAAGACAGGUGUGAACUAGGGAAGGUUCCAUUUGGAUAUAUUUCAAGAUUGUUGGAAUUUAAGGGUAUGGAAACAAAAUACUAGCCCAAAUUACACAAACAAAGAACAUAAUGAAUAAAAAGAAAAACUUGUCAGUUGAGGCGUGACAAACACUGUCCUUAAAAUAGAUCCACCCUCCUCGAAGACGAACUUGGUGCACUAGGGUAUCAGUGGUCUACUUUCAGGAUUCAACAGUCAGAUCUCACCUUGGGUGCACUCUGAAAGCGAGAUGUGUAUAACUCAGGUUUUUGAAUAAAUUCCUCCAAAUAGUUGUAUGAAAAUACUCCCUAAAAAACUCUCUGAAAAAAAAAAUUCUAAAAAAUUGGUAUCUAUGUAUAGAGAAGGGUGACUUGCUUUUAUAGGCCACUAACACAGUCCCAAUGGGAAUCUACUUGUAAUUAGAAGAUGAUACAAAGUGGAAGGUGAUUCUACUUAUAAAAUGAAUGAGACUCCACUAGCACAAUCCCAAAAGGACUCUUCCCAAAAAUAUAACACUAAUAGAAUAAAAUAAAAUAAAAAAUAAUUCUCAAUAGGACACUUCCCAAAAAUAUAAGAUUAAUAGAAUAAAAUAAAAUAAAUUAAAUUAAAUUAAAAUUAAUUUCCAAAAAUAAAAAUAGAAAUUAUUUACACUCUUCCUACAAUAACUUCCAUCUUGGCAGGGUAAGCACAUGAACCCAUAGCAAGCAUUUUGAUUCCAUACUCUGAAGCCAUGGAACUAACUGAUAGCAUAGUCAUUUGCAAACCAGUAUCAGGUGGCUCUAUGAACCCAACAAGAACUCUAGGGCCAGCGAUUGCCAGUGCUGACUACAAGGGGAUUUGGGUGUAUGCGGUUGGACCAGUAUCAGGCACACUACUGGGGACAUGGUCCUUUAAUUUGAUUCGGGUCACAGAGAAGCCAGUGCAAGCAAUAUCUUCUCACUCAUUUUCACUCAAACUAAGCAUAAUGAGGAGCAAUGCUUGGGAGAUUUCCAGAAAAGAUCCUCUGAAUCAUCUAUAAUAAGACUCAAUCUAUAAAUGAUGAUGAAUACUAUAAGCUAAUAAGCCUAUGGCAUUUAGUUUGCCCUUGAUGCCCAUAAGAGCUUGUAUCUGUUGUACGUUUUAUAUCUACAUGCAUAUGAUGUAUUAUAGUAUUGAUUGAAAGAAUUUAGUCAUUAAAAAUUGAAAAUGAAAAGGCAAAAUGACAAAAACUUUCUCUCUCAAAAGCAUUAUUUAAGCGAUCAAUAAGUGGGCAUCAGAACAUAUUAGUACAUCUAGUCAGACAUUCCUGACCUAAUAAAAAAACUGCAACUAAGAAACAUGUCCAUAUAUGUGUUUGUCUCGUAGACAUUAAUUACACAACUCAAUCAAUUGCAAUACAAUAGAUAUCAAAAGGCAUUCUCCAAUAAACAUGUGACCAACAUUUGUGAGGUAAUAUGGCAUCGAUACAGGCAAAAAAGGUUUGACCUAGGAUUGAAUGAUGCAUACUAGACCCUAAGUAGUUUUUUUCACAAACUACAAAAGACCCAGGGUUGAUGGUAAUGCUCUUAGUGCAAUUGUCAGUUUUAUAAAUCCCAACAAGUCGAUCCACCAGCUCAAACAUGUUGUUUCUAAGGCUGCAAUUUGUAAGACACCCAAAAUAAGGAAAAACUUGAAAAAAAUAAUAUGUAGUAAGUUUAGUGAUAAUUCAACAUCCCAUCCAAUCUACCUUAUGAUUAUAAAUUGUGCAUCAUUUGUUCGGUCUUUCACAUAGUGUCCUACAAUUGAAACAUUCUUGAAAUCUGCCACAGCAUAUGAACCAAAUAAGGGAGAAACAUAAUAUAAAAUUUUAGAAAAUAAAUGGCAUUCAAAAAUUAAAGCUCAUCAAUCCAAUUUGUAGUACCUAGAGCAGCAUCAAUCUCAUCCAUAACAUAAAGUGGGAUGGGUUUGUAGUGAUGAAGAGCAAAAACAAGAGCCAACAAGCUGAGGUCUGAAUGCAACAAAAUCAAACAACAUUAUAGGACCUCCCCACAAGUCUCUAGUAUCUUUCCUUAUCGGUUGAUACUUGAUUAGGCUCAACACACAAUUUCAGACCUUCUAUUGGUGUAUCAACAGGUUGACAUCCCGACAUUCUAGUCUCCUGUAAAAAAUCUAAGGCAUACUUUCUUUGAGAUAGAAAAAUUCCUUCAUUUGAUCGAGAAACUUCAAUCCCAAGAAAGUAUUUCAGAGAACCUAGAUCUUUCAUUUCGAAUUCUCUAGACAUAUAAUUCUACAGAGCUUUUCUUUUUUCAGGAUCAUUUCUUGUAACUACCAUGUCGUCCACAUAUACGAUGAGUGUUGUAAUCUUACCAUGUUAUUUUUUUAAGAACAAAGUGUGAUCUGAAUUACUUUGACGAUAGCCAAAAGCUCUCAUUGACUUUGUGAACCUUCAAAACCAUGCUCUCGGGGAUUGCUUCAACCCAUACAAUUACUUCUUCAAUUUGCACACCUUCUGACAUUGCUUUUCUGACACCAUGCAUCAUGGUGGAAGAUCCAUAUAUACUUCUUCAGAUAACUCGCCAUCAGAAAGACAUUUUUCACAUCAAACUAUUGUAAUGGCCAAUUCAAGUUUGCAGUUAAAGACGGUAAUACUCGAACUGUGUUGAUCUUAGCUACAAGUGCAAAUGUCUUUAUGUAGUCAAUUCCAUAAGUUUGAGUGUACCCUUUUGCUACCAGUCUUACUUUAAAUCGUUCAAUACUACCAUCUGCCUUGUACUUCACAGUAUAGAUCCAACGACACCCAACUGACUUCUUUCUUGGUGGACAUUCUACGAGUUCCCAUAUUUCAUUAUUCUACAAUGAUUUCAUUUCUUCAUUCAUGGCUGCUUUCCACCUUGGAUUAGUUGAGGCUUCGUGCACACUGUUAGGAAUAACUACAGUAGAUAAUUGAUUUACAAAUGACUCAUUUGAUUCAGACAAACGAUGGUUAGACAUAUAGUUGCUCAUGGGAUAUUUGACUUUGAUAGACAAUUCAAGUUCAUAUGUGGGUUUAGGAAUACCUCUAUUAUGACGGUGUGGUAACCGUUUCAUGAAUGGAUCAGGUUCCAAAUUAAGAAUACCCUCAGUAGACGACAAUUGGUUUGGUAUUUCAGUGAAGGCAUCUUCGGACCCAAAUUGUUCAGAUGGUGGUGAUGGUUCAAUUGUACUGUCUCUUCCAUCUUCUAUCACUUCUUCAAUUUCUGGGUGGUCAUUACUACUUGAUUCCAAAGUUGUACCACUCAUAUCCAAUUCACCCGCUUCUUGGUUUACUAGUUCAGAUUGUCCAGAUUCAUCCUCCUUAAAGAUAUGAUAAUCAUAAUCGAGAGUCUGAAUUUCCUUAUGGUACCCCCCCUAAAGUUCAGACUCAAAUGAAAAAUACAUCGAAUCUUCAUGAAACACCACAUCCAUUGUAAUAAACAUUCGUCGAGUUGGAGGAUGGUAACAUCGAUUUCCUUUUUGGUGCAAUGUAUAUCCAACAAACACACAUUUCAAUGCACGAUAAGUUAACUUGGUGCGUUGGUGUUUGUGUAGAUGCACAAAUGCCACGCAACCAAAAACACGAGAAGGUAGAUUUGGGACGGUUGGGGCAACCACGACAUUAGUAAGAGCUUGGAGAGGUGUUUGGAAGUCAAUUGAGCUAGAAAGUACUCGAUUGAUCAAGUAUGCGGCAGAUGUGAUUGCUUCUCCCCAAUAAGAUAUCAACAUUUUUGCUGCUAUCAAGGAAGCAUGAACAACCUCUAACAAGUGUUGAUUUUUACAUUCAACGACUCCAUUUUGCUGGGGUGUAUUGGAACAAGUAGUCUAAUGAAUGAUGCUAUGUCCUUCUAAAUACUUCUAAAGAUCAAAACUCUGAUAUUCUCCACCAUUAUCGCUAUGCAAAACCCGAACCUUUGCAUUGUACUGAGUUCCAAUCAUUUUAUGAAAUUUUUGAAACAAUAAGUUCACUUCAUCUUUGGUCUUCAUCAAGUAUAACCAGGUCAUUCUGGUAUAAUCAUCAAUAAAAGUAACAAACCAAUGCGAUCCACUCAAAGUUAGGACUUUGGAUGGGCCCCAAACAUCAGAAUGUAUAACCAUAAAAGGAAGCGGACUUUUAUUCAAAAUUAACGAAAACGAAGCACGAUGGCUUUUAGCCAAUUCACAAAUAUCACAACGGAAACUAGAAACAUCACUCAUUGCAAACAAACUAGGAAACAAUUUUUUAAAAUAACCAAAGGAAGCAUGUCCUAGACGUCGAUGCCACAACCAAAUUUUAGACUUUUUCUUCUCCCCCUUAGACUCAUCUGUCAUCAAGGUUUGUCGUAACUUAUUGGAAUCCUUUGACUGCAAAUCCAAGUAAUAGAGUUUUCCCCACUUAAUACCACAACCAAUCGUCCGUCUUGUUUGAAUGUCCUUAAAAACACAAAAUUCAGGCAAAAAAAUAACAAUACAAGAUAAGGCUGCAAUGAUUUGAGAAACUAACAAAAGAUUGUAAUCGAAAUAUAGAACAACUAAAACAGAAUCCAAAUUCAGAGUAUCAAUAAGAGUUAAGGAUCCUUCCCCAAUGACUGGGGUUGUGUUACCAUUGGUUGUAGAAACAAUUUUUUGUGAGGAAGGUUUAAGAGGUGAGACCUGUCUAGAAUAAAAAAUCAUAUGAUCUGUAGCACCAAAAUCAAUUCUCUGUGUACUAUUAAUAACAGGUGUAGAAGUAUUUAAAACCUUACCACCAUAAUCUGUAGUGGCUACCAAUGUAGAGGCUUUCUCAACAAUAUUAUCCUCUGUUUUUAUUUCAGCAACAGUUGUAGUCAAGGUUUUUUUGGAAUCCUUCUUCCGUUAAUCACGAUUAUGAUCCCACUAGUCUGGAUAUCCCACAAGUUCAAAGCAAUGACUCUUGGUAUGACCAGUCUUAUUGCAAUGAGUACAUUUGAAGGUUGACUUAUCAAUAUUAGGGGUUGUCUUAGGAUGGUUGGUCUUGGAUUGGUCCUGCCAAUUCUGGGUUGAUCGUUGUCGGAUUACCAUAGCUGAGGUGUCAGUAUUGUCAGAUUCUGCUUUCAUACUAGCAUGAUGCACUGCCUCUCGUCGAAUCAGUGCAUAGCAUUUUUCCAAAUCGGGAAUAGGAUCUUUGCAUAGAAUCUCUCCUCAAACUUGCUCAAAGUCACCAUUCAAUCCAGCAAGAAAGAUGUGCACCCGUUGUUGUUCAAUGGAUUUCCAGUAUGCUACAAUGUCAUCAGGGUCUUUCAUGACUACCUUAUCCCGAUGAUCUAAUUAGCAAAAAAUCUUAGUUAACUCUCCAUAAUAUUCAGAAAGAGACCUGCCACUUUGUUUGGCAAUGAAGGCUUUUUUAUUCAGAGUGAAAACUUGUAAUUCAUCACUUCCAUCAUAGAAGGCCUUUGAUAAUGCACUCCAAAUUUCUUGAGUGGUGGGUAAGCGUAAAUAACGCUUCAUAAUUUCUGGACUCAUGGACAUUAACAACCAUCUCUUCACCUUUUGAUUCUCUGCAUACCAUUUUUCAUAUCCAUUUUCGACUCUUUUGGUGGCUUUGUCUUACCUCGAAUGUAGGAAAGUUUUUCCCAUUCGGUAAUAUGCAUUUCCACGAGUUGUGACCAAACGUCAUAGUUUGAUUCAGUCAAAAUAAUUCCUGGAUUAAAAGUACCUUCAGAUUGAAAAACAAUAGUAUUUUUUUCACCUUUUUUUUUUUUUUGAUAAGCAAAUUAAAAUAUAAAUAUGACACACACUUUUCCUCGACGCUUGUUCUUCUUUAACAAAUUUGUAGAUCGAUGAUGACCGAUGUCGGAGCAAGAAAUGGCACUGAUCUUUGGCGUGGUGCAGGUAUACACGAAAAGAGGUUGAUGAUCUUUGUCAACAGUCUCCUAUUAUUUUGUGGAAGUUUGCAAGGGAUUUUGUCUCAAAAGAGGUUUCUAAGGUUGGCUUUGAUACCAACUUCAAUUUGAUGAAUGGUGGUUUUUCAUUCAUACUUUCAUUUGUUCACGUACAAAGUAUAUAUAGAGGGCAAGCUAUACAGCUAUACAAUCAUAUCUGUUAAUUAUGUUGACCACCUAUAAUCAAGCACUAUAAUCAAGCAUAAUCACCUAAGAAUGGGAAAGAAUGAUUACAAGGAUUUGUAUAGCUAAUAUCCUAAUAUCUCAACAUAGCACAAUCAGUGGAUUCUAGAUAUUACCUUUUCACCACCUGAUAAGUUUGCAACAAGUUCAAGUUCCGCAUCACCUCCUAGUGUGAUCAUCUGUAGCAAGUGCAUUAAGGGACAAGCAUUGAACAAUUAUUGCAUUAAAAAAAAGGAAGGACAGAAAGAAAGAAAAGAAAAGAAAAGAAAGAAACAAAGAAAGAAUAAAAAACACAGCACAAGUAAAAGCCAAUUAUGAAAUCCCAACUGCCAGCAGUGUCAUUACUAUAGAAGGAAUUAAAGUAGCAUGACAAAUUAGGCUACUGAGUUUUAGAGGAAGAUGAAUCAGGAAAAGUAAAUGUUUGUGGCGGAUGAAGCUGUGCAUCAUUGUGGUCUAAAAUUUCCUAUGACUAUACCAUUAAAAGUUCACAUAAAACAAGCUAAAAGAAGAAAGAAAGCAAUCCUGAAAAGUUAAUGCCCAGGAAAGAAGAUGCAAUCUUCCAUUGUUUCAAGAUGCUCAGGAUCCUAAUCAAGUACCCCCACACGGUGCAGCAAGACCAGGACCAAAAAAAAAACAUUACAAAAACUAAAUUAGAUAUUCAAUAGGACCAUUUAUACAGAGCACUCUAGUGGAACCAGCCACAAAAGUGAAUGAGGCUACACAACAGUUAUAACCUAAACUUAUUUGUCCAGAAUGUCCGUGCACUAUACGGUUGCAUGUGCAUCCUUGUGUAAGGAGAGGGUGUUUCAAACCACUCAGUUUACAAACCUGAUACAUUUCUUUCAACUUCAAAGAUAUUGUGUGGAAUCCUGCCAUGAACUCGUCCAUCCUAAAAAUAUCCAAUUGAGUAGCAUAAAGAAGUUACAUCAACAGGAACAUGCAAGACAAGUAAUAAAAAAUAUAAACAAGGUAAAAUAGACAAGCCUUCUCUUUUUCCAUUCAUCAUAUUGCUUCUUCACAUCAUCACGCUCUUGAGUGACCGUGUUAAGAUCUUGCAUACCUUUCUCCGGUAUCUAUAGUAAUUAGAGAAGUUGUCAAAUAAAAUAUGCAUAACCACACAAAUUUCAGCUUACAUCAUAUAUGCAAAGCAGAGAAAAUGCAUACUCUGAAAUGGAAUCGAGAUUGGGAUUCAUCUCUUUCAAUUGUGCUUCAAUCAAUGCUACCAUUUCAAGGGCCCUCUUUAGGCCACAAUCCUCGGUAAGAGUCUUGUCUGCCAGUGUCGCUUGAAGCUUUUCAGGGUCCACCAGAUCUUUCUGAAUUCUGUAACCAAAAAAAAAAAAAUAGUUGACAUUUUCAGUCAUAAACAUAACAGAUUUCUAGAGGUCACAUAGACCAAGGCAUACUGUUCCAUAUGCUUCACAAGAGCAACUUGCAAUUCGUCAAGCUUUCUCUUGUAACCCUUUCCCUUCAUUUCCAACUCCUUGUAGAGUUUCUUCAUGUCUUGUAAUUUGUAGUCAGCAUCAACCUGGAAUAUCACCAAAGAAUUGCUAAAAUGUUUUAAACAGUAGUUGACCAAAACCAAGUAAAGGAAAAUAUAGAGAUGCAUUCAUUGGCACCAGACCUCAGAUGCCCUCAACUCAUCCACGAUUUUCUUCAACUUUUCGUAGUCAGAUUUUGCUUUAUCCAAUACAUCUUUAUGCUGAUCAAUUAGCUAUAGAAAAAAAGAAAGAAAAAAAAAAUAUUCACCAGUUAUAAAGCAACUCACUCAUGUAACUCAUCAUAAACGAUGCCAAACAAAUAAAAACAAACCUCCUGUGUUUUGUUAUAGUUGUCUUGAACAGUAAAUGCCUUCUGUUCUAUAUCUUUAUGGGAUAAAUGCAACUUCUCCUUCUCGUCAACCACUCGGUCUUUCUCCUUCUUUGACUCUUCUAUCCCCUUUUUCAACUUCUUCACCAUUUUUUGACCUGUCUCUAUUUGAACCUUGUGGCGAUUGAUCUCUGUAUUGCUUUUAUCAAUAUCCCGACAAGAAGGAAGCACAUAUCAAAAGAAGUAUCAUUUACAGGAUUUGGCAAUUUCUGAUUGAUUGAUAUACUUACAAAUUGAAUUUUGUUGACUUUUGACUUUUGCAAUUUCAAUCUUCACCACCUGCAUUUUCAAUUUUACUCUGAAGCUCCAAAGCCUUGAAAACACAGAAUUAGAGAAAGGUCAAGCAAACACCAUCAACAAAUCAAAUGCAAAAUUCUGCACAUUGCCCAUGUAUUCAGUUCUAUGAAGAAUGAACAUCUACAUAAUGUCUUGGAGUGGAUACCAUAACAUAAGAACAAGUCAGAAACACAGCUCAAUUGUUUUUGUAGUGUUGUGUUCUGAACUGAUUGUGUUACAAGAGUAAUCAAAUGUAAUCCUUUGACAUUUAAACAUUUCGACUUCACUCAAUGUGCCCAUGUCAAGAUGACAUGACAAGGUUAUGAGUGUGGGAUCAUUUAGUCCUAUUUUGCUUCAGACAUUAAUUAUAGAAAUUUUUAAAAAAAGAAAGGACAAAAGAAAGAAGAAAGAGAUUUCUCUUAACACCUAGGAUGCAUUAUUUUUGCUUCUAAUUGACUUCUAUCUUAUCUUUUCCUUGCAUUAUGUUGUAUCCAAAUAUCACUCAAGAUCCCUUUUUAGCCAAGCCUCUACAUCCUAGGCACAUCUAGACCCCACAAGUGUACCAAUGUAACAUAGAUAUAUAAUUCAGUUACCAGCUCACCUUAUCCUUCAACUGCUUAGACCCUUCUAUGAGUCUUUCGAUCUCUUUUUCUUCUGCAGAUAUAGUUUUAUUUAACUCCUCCAGCCUAUUUAGCUCAUCUUUCCUUGGCUUUGAUGCAGCUUUCAGGGAAUCAAGCUGUUUUUCAAGAUAACUAUGCUGCGACUUUAAACUGUCUAUCUGUUUCAGAAGAAAAUUUUUAGUUAAUAUUUAAUAAAAAUGCCCUCAAAAUACAGAUGAAUGGACACAGAAUCUAUUCUCAAGUGUUACCUCUUUAAGGAUUUUGGUCAAUUCCAUUUCCAAACGAGCAACUGCUUUUUCCGACCCCUGGUAAAAAAAAAACUUUAAUGUAUUAAAAAAUAAAAUGAAAAAAUUAAAUUAAACAACUUUUUAUUAAUUAUAUAUAGAUGGAACGAGAUGUGGUGGGGCGGAGUGGAACAAGACAAUACUCAACUUGCCCUAAACUCAAUGGAUUAAUCAUUUUUCCUAACCUGUCUUAUUAGGGCUAGGAUAGGUAUUAUAAAAAACCGGUUUAUUAACAUUCCUAUCCAUUCCUUGAAAGAUAAAUUAAGGUUAAUGAAUUGGAAGUAAUUGAAAAUUUGUAUUUUAAAUGUGUGUUUUUAAGAAUGAAUAUUAUUAUUAUUUUUUUUAAAAUCUCACCAAAUUAAAAAAAAAAAAAAAAAGUAAUCUUCACAAUAUUGUAAGAGAUUAAUUCCCUUGGAUAACUUUUAGAAGAAGUAAAAGUAAAACUAAUUAAAAUCAUAAGAAAUAGAAGCCAAAAUACUUAUUAGAUGUACCUUUUUUUUAAAAGAAAAAAAAAAGAUAAUGUUUGAAAAAUAAAAUCAAUAAUAAUUUUGGUAUGUUAAGCAUUGCAAGUUAUAUUUGCAACAAUUAUGCUAAGAGGAAAUGAUGGCUCAAAGAGUAUCCUAGUGAAUGUAUUUGAUCAAAACCUGUGUUAGUCUUGUGUGCUUCAAAUUUAGUAUUGACUUAAAAAAAUGAGCUCGAAAUUGUGUUUGGCUUAGGAAUUAUGUUAGCUUUGAGAUUUGGUAUAAACUUAAUAGGUAUAUGGCUUGAAAUUUAGGAAAUAAGCUCAAGAUUUUAUUAGCUCAAUAUUUGUGUUAGCCCUCAAUUACUUUGAUGCAACUCUAAUUAUAUAAAAAUUUUCAGCAUGACCUCAAUGAUAGUAAAUUAAUUAUUAGAUGACAUGUUUAAUGUGUUAACCAUAAUAAGUGGUAUCAAAUCCAUGCUACGGGGUGCAGCUUCCCAAGUGUCUCUUGUGUCAUAGGAUCAAAUAGUCAGGACAAUCAAUUUAGGUGUGCCCAUCAUUGCAAUUAAUGUAGACAUAAAUUCAGCUUGAGAUUAUAUUGGCUUGGGAUUGAAUGAGAUUUAGCUCAUUACCUCACGGUUAUAUUCAUGUGACUUGGAAUUAUAUUAACUCAUAAUUGUAUUAGUGUGGACAUGCAAUUAUACUAACUCAUAAUUGUUUUCGUGUGACUCAAAUUUGUGUUAGCCAUGAGAUUUGAUUUUGACAUUGGAAAGCAAGCUCGAGAUCAUUUUACUAAUCACAAUAUUCAAAACUAAUUUUGAUAAUCUAGUAGUUAAAUAAACUCAUGCGAUCGCUCUUGUACCAUUGGGAGUUUGAUACUAAACUUUGUGUUAGACGUUAUUACAAACAUUUUAUGAUGAAUAGAAAGGGAUACACACGCGUGCCAUGAACAAACUUUUAUUUCCACACUUAACCACAUUGGGAGUUCGAUUACAAAAUUUUUGUCAAUAUAGAAAGGAAGACACGCUUAAUCACAACUGUCCUAUUAUUUCCACUAUGGAUGUGUAGGUACCCAUGAUACCAGCUGAAGUACCCAUCAACAUAACCCCAAUCAUAAUCACUAGUUCAAUUCCAAAUUUGUGGUAAAUGCCUGAAAUCUUCAAGUAGCAUAAGCACGGCAACAAGAUUGAACCCGUGACAGUCGAAAAUGCUACCACCAUGGACAUGAGAGACCCAAAAAAUGGGACUGUCAGAGCUACAAUGAUAGUACUGAACACCAAAGCGGUUCUUAUUAGAAGGCUAAAUGAUCUUCUGUUGCAGUAGUUUGGAAAGCAGUUUUCUGUAGCAUUCACAAUUGGUGCAACCAUCAAUGCAUAUUUGGAUAUGGGAUUGACUAGAGUAGUGUAUAUGGCCACUCUUGAGCUAAGUUUCUCAAUUGGAAGGUUUAAAGUUAUUUGUGAUUGCACCUCUGAACCAAACAUUAAGUACCCCAAAACUGCCAUUGCUGCAUAAGCAAUGGUGCAGAAGAUAAAGCAUACAAGCAAGACUGCAAUGAGAAAAUACAAUAUUGAAGAUCAGUUACAUCAUCUCAAGUAUGAAUGUACGUGUGUGUGUCUAUAUAUAUAUAUAUAUAUAUAGAGAGAGAGAGAGAGAGAGUAACAUGUAAUGUUCCACUUACAGUAGAAAACUGGUUUUUCUUUCUCAUAGAAGUGUAUAAAGUAGGAAAGACUGGAUGGGCACAAUAGCAGAAAGCGUAUAAACUGAAGGCAGUAGGGAUUCCUUUCCAAUUCAGAGUUGUCCCUUUCCCAUGAAAUCCAACUCCAUCAAAUACUCCAGUCCAUAAAAUUGAGCCAAGGAUGAUUAUACAAGCAAAAACACCGCUUGCUGAGAUAUAAGAAAGCAUGUUUAAAUUGUAGAAACAGACCGAUGGCAGAAUCACAAGGCCAGAAAUCAGUAUGAAGCUUUGUCUACCAUCAAUUACUUGCCCAAAAAUUUCAAAUCCCACCAUGGGGAAUAAAUUAUGCAGAUUAUCCCCUUCUAGUAUUAGAAAACCAGUUGCAACCAAGUAAAGCUCCAAAUACAUGAAGAUUGAUACCAUUAAUCUUCCUUUCUUCCCAAAUGCUUGCUCACCUAUAUCUGGGUAAGUUCGGAUAUUUAGAUCAACAUCCAUACAUCUUUGAAGUAGCAAACCUGUAUAGAAAGUUGCAAGGGUGAUAACAAACAGAAGCAUCAAGCUCAACCACCCUCCUGAUGCAAGUGCAUAUGGAACCGAAAGGAUCCCAAUCCCUACAAAGAUAGUUAACACGAAAAAUGUUAGUUUUUUUUUUUUUUUUCAGUUUGUUAGAAAUAUAGAAUAAUUGUAUUCUAUUCUGUGAAUAAAAGAGUAUACAUCAGUGCCUUUAUAUAGGAGGCAUAUAUGUGUAGUACAAGGGUGCAGUACAAAGGUGUAGUACAAGUGUAGUACAAAGGUGUAGUACAAGUGUAUAGUACAAGUACUAUACAAGUAACCUAACUGGGCCCCUGGGCCUAGAGCCCACAAUACAAUAUACUUUAACAGCCCCCCUCAACUUCAAGGUGGAUGUGAGACCAACUUGAGGUUGUCAACUAAAUCACGAGUGCGUCUCUUAGGAAGAGACUUGGUGAAGAUAUCUGCAAGUUGAUCUUUGGAGGAGACGGAGAAAAGCUUAAGAGCACCAUGGAGAAGAUGAUAACGGAUAAAAUGACAAUCAAUCUCGAUGUGUUUAGUCCGUUCAUGAAAGACAUCAUUGUGAGCAAUAUGAAUAGCACUCUGGUUGUCACAAUAAAGAGGAGUAGCAGAGGAGGUGGAUANNNNNNNNNNNNNNNNNNNNNNNNNNNNNNNNNNNNNNNNNNNNNNNNNNNNNNNNNNNNNNNNNNNNNNNNNNNNNNNNNNNNNNNNNNNNNNNNNNNNCCAAAAGAUAACAUUACGAGAAACGCGAAGACGAUGAGAAACAGGAUCAUAACACCUAUACCCCUUUUGAGUUUCGCCAUAACCAAGAAAACAACAGAGUCUAGAUCGAGGCUCAAGUUUGUUGUGCUCAUGAGGCUGAAGAAGAACAAAGCAAGCGGAUCCAAAGGAGCGAAGGUGAUGAUAGUUAGGGGGUGACCCAAAGAGACGCUCAUAUGGAGUCUGAUUAUGGAUGACAGUACUUGGAAUGCGGUUAAUUGCAUGAACAGCAUGAAGACUGGCUUCACCCCAAAAUGGGGCAGGAAUUUUGGCAGAAAGAAGUAAAGCACGAACAGUGUCAAGAAUAUGACGAAGUUUUCUUUCGGCUCGACCAUUUUGCUGAGAGGUACCUGGACAGGUUAGAUGAUGGAUAGUGCCAUAGGAAUGUAACAGAGUUUGAAAUGCAUGUUGAGUAUAUUCAAGAGCAUUAUCAGAUCGAAAGGUUUUGAUACGUUUGGAGAAUUGAGUUUCAACCAUUUUUGCAAAGUUGCUAUAUAUUAAUAAAAUUUCAGAACGAGAUUUCAUAGGAAAAAUCCAACUAUAACGAGAGUAAUUAUCAAUAAAAACAACAAAAUAUCGAGAUCCACCAAUACUAGCAACAGGAGAAGGUCCCCAAACAUCAGAAUGAAUUAACUCAAAAAUACUUUUAGAAAUGGAGUCACUGUUAUUGAAAGGCAAAGCUGGUUGUUUUCCUAACUGACAUGAAGUGCAAUCAAAAUUGUCUUUAGACACAGAACCCAACAGACCUCUAGACACUAACUGUUGUACCCGAGAAGAUGGUGCAUGACCAAGACGAGAAUGCCAAAGCGCAAGAGAAGGUAAGGAAGAAACUGCAGCUGUUGCAGCAGCAACAGAAACAGGAGCAACAGGUGGAAGAUGAAGAUUGUUCACGGGAAACAUACGCCCAACUCUAGGACCGGUCCCAAGCUCCUGCCCCGUCCUCGGAUCCUGUACAAUACACCCAGAAUAGUCAAAAAUAAGGCGAUAACCGAGUUCAGCUAAUUGUCCCACAGAGCACAAAUUAUAGGAUAGGUCAGGUACGUGAAAGACUCCAGGAACAGAAAGGGUAGAGGUUGAAACAAAACCUAGACUAUUUCCAUGCAUGGUGGAACCAUCGGCUAUAUGAAUAUUUAGAGGAUGUGGUGCAGGGUCAAGGUUGGUGAACAGGGAUGAGUGAGGUGUCAUGUGAUUGCAGCAGGCAGAAUCAAAGAGCCAAGUUUGAGACUUACCAGGUAGAACAGAUAAGGCAGUGGAAAGAGAUGCAUUACCAACCAUACGAACAGCCUGAGCUAUGAUCUCCUGUAGUUCAGUGGAAGAGAGGUUGAUAGUAGAUCCAGAAGACUGGGACGUGGAAACCGUUGGCGGAGUAGGUGCAGUAUUAGCAACAGCAGCAGUAGAUUUGUUACGACGGUAACAAGUCUCAAUGGUGUGGCCAGGACGCUUGCAAUAGUUGCAGAACUUCUUGUUGGUUUGCUUGCGACGAUUGCUAGAGCCAGAAAAAUCACCUAAUUGCUGAGGUUGCUCUAUGAGUGGAGUAGAUGGAGUAAUAGCCAAAAUAUUGAGCUUAUUCUGGGCUUGAAGGGUUGCAAGACGAGCUUCUUCUCUAACCAACUCAUUCACAGCAGUAUCAAGAGAGGGAGCAGGACUGCGAUUUAACAGCUGACCACGAAUGGGCUCAAAGUCCUUGUGAAGUGACAUCAAGAAUUCAUAGAGGCGAAAUUCAUCUCUAAUGGUAGCAUAUUGCUGAGCAUCUGUGGAGCAUCCCCAAGUUGGAUCAGAAAGGUCAAUUUGGUCCCAAAUGAAGCGAAGCUGAUCAUAAUAGUCAUUGAUGGAUUGCCCCGGUUCUUGCCUGAGUUGAUGCAAUUCAACCACUAACUGAUAUUUCAUGGAUCCAUGAGUAGUGGAGUACCUUUUGGUCAACAUAUCCCAUGCAGAUUUUGCAUCGUCAAAGCUACCCAAUAGGUUGGAAAUAGAGGGAAUGGAAGUGUUCCGGAUCCAUGUGAGGAUCAUGUGGUUAUGACUAUCCCAUUCAAUCAUGCGACUAAGAAAGACAGCAUCUUCUUCACUUGCUCCUUUGACAGGAAUAGUCAUUGCACCAGUACAAUAAUGCCAGAGCAUGCGACUCUUAAGAAAACUGCGCGUAGCUUGAGACCAGGAUAAGUAAUUUUUAGUCCCCUCCAAUACAGUAUGGAUGGGGCGAGGAAGAAAAACAUCCUUCUUAUCCAUUUAGGGAUGCAAUAUGCAAAACCGACUGCAGAAAUGAAAUCUAUACGAAAAACUAGGUAAGGAGAACCUGGCUGGGGAAAAAGUCAAUUGGACGGUCAACGGUCAAAGUCAACGGUCAACGCUGGUCAACGGUCAACGGUCAAUGGUCAACGGUCAACGACUGGAGAUGACGUCAGCAGAUCAGUGGAUGCUGACGCAGCUAGGGCUGACGUGGCAGCGCGUGGAGGCCUGACGAGCUAGUGCUGAUGUGGCAGCGCGUGGGGGCGCGUGGGGGCGCGUGAAGGCACGUGGAGGCGCGUGGAGGCGUUGCAGAAUCUUUGAGGGGCGCGUGCGGUCUCCGAUGGCGGCGAGAUAUCCACGAAUGUGUAGAUCGGCGCUGGACGAUCUCAGUGGUACCUUCAAAAGUGAAAUCGGAGCAAUAUUCGCAGCGAUGAUGCAAAGGGGCAGUGGUCUGUGCAGUGUGAGACUUCUUAAUGACUGCGGUUGCAGGUCCGGAACCCAGGGAUGACGACUGGAUGACGUCGGAGGUUCAACGGCAAGAGGCUACAGCGGCAGUUGUGAUGGCGGAAGCGCUUAGUGAAAAAGGAAGUCACACUAAUGAAGACAAGACUGCUAAGAAGAAAAAAAAAAGAGGUCAGAGCAGUGGCUCUGAUACCAUGUUAGAAAUAUAGAAUAAUUGUAUUCUAUUCUGUGAAUAAAAGAGUAUACAUCAGUGCCUUUAUAUAGGAGGCAUAUAUGUGUAGUACAAGGGUGCAGUACAAAGGUGUAGUACAAGUGUAGUACAAAGGUGUAGUACAAGUGUAUAGUACAAGUACUAUACAAGUAACCUAACUGGGCCCCUGGGCCUAGAGCCCACAAUACAAUAUACUUUAACACAGUUUAUCAUUUACAAAGUAGUUACAGAAUCAGAAAAACAACCUAAUAAAGCAUUGAGGCCAUUAAAACAGGUCUUGAAGAAAGAGGUAGAGCCCAAGUCUAGCUUGCAGCCAGUGGAGGAGUACUCCAUGUCCUCCACGUUUUGACUCUCAUCAUGCAAAAGGGGGAAGGCGAGAGAAAACCCAUCAAGCUGCUCCGGCGCCAUGUCUCAUAAACUAAGAAAGAAAGGAAGGGAAAGGAUUAUGAAGAUUAUGAA